GCUGGGUGUGGUGGUGUAUGCCUGUAAUCCUGUGGCUUGGGAGGCUGAGGCAGGAGGAUCACAAGUUCAAAGCCAGCUUCAGCAAUUUAGCCAGGCCAUGAACAACUUAGUGAGAUACUCUCUU
rnacentral:sRNA from 1 species